AGCUUUAUAGUCAUAUUAAAUGAUAUUAGACUGCAAUUCUAAAGGAGUAUAUAAAUUACUAAGGCUU
rnacentral:tRNA from 1 species